rnacentral:rRNA from 1 species
CCACGCCCUAAACGAUGUCUACUAGUUGUCGGGUUUUAAUUAACUUGGUAACGCAGCUAACGCGUGAAGUAGACCGCCUGGGGAGUACGGUCGCAAGAUUAAAACUCAAAGGAAUUGACGGGGACCCGCACAAGCGGUGGAUGAUGUGGAUUAAUUCGAUGCAACGCGAAAAACCUUACCUACCCUUGACAUGUCAGGAAGGCCGGAGAGAUCUGGCUGUGCCCGAAAGGGAACCUGAACACAGGUGCUGCAUGGCUGU